AGAGUUUGAUCCUGGCUCAGGAUGAACGCUAGCUACAGGCUUAACACAUGCAAGUCGAGGGGAAACGACAUCGAAAGCUUGCUUUUGAUGGGCGUCGACCGGCGCACGGGUGAGUAACGCGUAUCCAACCUGCCCAUCACUUGGGGAUAACCUUGCGAAAGUAAGACUAAUACCCAAUGACGUCUCUAGAAGACAUCUGAAAGAGAUUAAAGAUUUAUCGGUGAUGGAUGGGGAUGCGUCUGAUUAGCUUGUUGGCGGGGUAACGGCCCACCAAGGCUACGAUCAGUAGGGGUUCUGAGAGGAAGGUCCCCCACAUUGGAACUGAGACACGGUCCAAACUCCUACGGGAGGCAGCAGUGAGGAAUAUUGGUCAAUGGACGAGAGUCUGAACCAGCCAAGUAGCGUGCAGGAUGACGGCCCUAUGGGUUGUAAACUGCUUUUAUAAGGGAAUAAAGUGAGUCUCGUGAGACUUUUUGCAUGUACCUUAUGAAUAAGGACCGGCUAAUUCCGUGCCAGCAGCCGCGGUAAUACGGAAGGUCCGGGCGUUAUCCGGAUUUAUUGGGUUUAAAGGGAGCGUAGGCCGGAGAUUAAGCGUGUUGUGAAAUGUAGACGCUCAACGUCUGCACUGCAGCGCGAACUGGUUUCCUUGAGUACGCACAAAGUGGGCGGAAUUCGUGGUGUAGCGGUGAAAUGCUUAGAUAUCACGAAGAACUCCGAUUGCGAAGGCAGCUCACUGGAGCGCAACUGACGCUGAAGCUCGAAAGUGCGGGUAUCGAACAGGAUUAGAUACCCUGGUAGUCCGCACGGUAAACGAUGGAUGCCCGCUGUUGGUCUGAAUAGGUCAGCGGCCAAGCGAAAGCAUUAAGCAUCCCACCUGGGGAGUACGCCGGCAACGGUGAAACUCAAAGGAAUUGACGGGGGCCCGCACAAGCGGAGGAACAUGU
rnacentral:rRNA from 1 species